AUUGAACGCUGGCGGCAGGCCUAACACAUGCAAGUCGAGCGAGCGGCGGACGGGUGAGUAAUGUCUGGGAAACUGCCUGAUGGAGGGGGAUAACUACUGGAAACGGUAGCUACUACUGCAUACACUCAUAUGUGCCCAGAUGGGUUGAGCUAGUAGGUGGGGUAAUGGCUCACCUAGGUGACGAUCCCUAGCUGGUCUGAGAGGAUGACCAGCCAAACUGGAACGGAGACACGGUCCAGACUCCUACGGGAGGAAGCAGUGGGGAAUGUUGAACAAUGGGCGCAAGCCUGAUGCAGCCAUGCCGCGUGGGUGAAGAAGGCCUUCGGGUUGUAAGGCACUUUCAGCGAGGAGGCGGUACUCGCAGAAGAAGCGCCGGCUAACUCCGUGCCAGCAGCCGCGGUAAUAC
rnacentral:rRNA from 1 species